UGGGGAAUUUUGGACAAUGGGCGAAAGCCUGAUCCAGCAAUGCCGCGUGUGUGAAGAAGGCCUUCGGGUUGUAAAGCACUUUUGUCCGGAAAGAAAUCCUUGGCUCUAAUACAGUCGGGGGAUGACGGUACCGGAAGAAUAAGCACCGGCUAACUACGUGCCAGCAGCCGCGGUAAUACGUAGGGUGCAAGCGUUAAUCGGAAUUACUGGGCGUAAAGCGUGCGCAGGCGGUUUGCUAAGACCGAUGUGAAAUCCCCGGGCUCAACCUGGGAACUGCAUUGGUGACUGGCAGGCUAGAGUAUGGCAGAGGGGGGUAGAAUUCCACGUGUAGCAGUGAAAUGCGUAGAGAUGUGGAGGAAUACCGAUGGCGAAGGCAGCCCCCUGGGCCAAUACUGACGCUCAUGCACGAAAGCGUGGGGAGCAAACAGGAUUAGAUACCCUGGUAGUCCACGCCCUAAAACGAUGUCAACUAGUUGUUGGGGAUUCAUUUCCUUAGUAACGUAGCUAACGCGUGAAGUUGACCGCCUGGGGAGUACGGUCGCAAGAUUAAAACUUAAAGGAAUUGACGGGGUCAUAGCUGUUUCC
rnacentral:rRNA from 1 species